rnacentral:rRNA from 1 species
GACGAACGCUGGCGGCGUGCUUAACACAUGCAAGUCGAACGGAAAGGCCCCUUUGGGGGUACUCGAGUGGCGAACGGGUGAGUAACACGUGAGUAACCUGCCCUUGACUUCGGGAUAACUUCAGGAAACUGGGGCUAAUACCGGAUAGGAAUCCUUGCUGCAUGGUGGGGGUUGGAAAGCUUCGGCGGUUUUGGAUGGACUCGCGGCUUAUCAGCUUGUUGGUGGGGUAGUGGCUUACCAAGGAUUUGACGGGUAGCCGGCCUGAGAGGGCGACCGGCCACAUUGGGACUGAGAUACGGCCCAGACUCCUACGGGAGGAAGCAGUGGGGAAUAUUGCACAAUGGGCGGAAGCCUGAUGCAGCAACGCCGCGUGCGGGAUGACGGCCUUCGGGUUGUAAACCGCUUUCAGCAGGGGCGAAGCUUGUGGUGACGGUACCUGCAGAAGAAGCACCGGCUAACUACGUG